rnacentral:rRNA from 1 species
UUAAGCGACUAAGCGUACACGGUGGAUGCCCUGGCAGUCAGAGGCGAUGAAGGACGUGCUAAUCUGCGAAAAGCGUCGGUAAGGUGAUAUGAACCGUUAUAACCGGCGAUGUCCGAAUGGGGAAACCCAGUGCAAUUCGUUGCACUAUCGUUAACUGAAUACAUAGGUUAACGAGGCGAACCGGGGGAACUGAAACAUCUAAGUACCCCGAGGAAAAGAAAUCAACCGAGAUUCCCCCAGUAGCGGCGAGCGAACGGGGAGCAGCCCAGAGUCUGAAUCAGCUUGUGUGUUAGUGGAACGGUCUGGAAAGUCCGACGGUACAGGGUGAUAGUCCCGUACACCAAAAUGCACAGGUUGUGAACUCGAAGAGUAGGGCGGGACACGUGGUAUCCUGUCUGAAUAUGGGGGGACCAUCCUCCAAGGCUAAAUACUCCUGACUGACCGAUAGUGAACCAGUACCGUGAGGGAAAGGCGAAAAGAACCCCGGCGAGGGGAGUGAAAAAGAACCUGAAACCGUGUACGUACAAGCAGUGGGAGCACCUUCGGGUGUGACUGCGUACCUUUUGUAUAAUGGGUCAGCGACUUAUAUUCUGUAGCAAGGUUAACCGUAUAGGGGAGCCGCAGGGAAACCGAGUCUUAACUGGGCGUUAAGUUGCAGGGUAUAGACCCGAAACCCGGUGAUCUAGCCAUGGGCAGGUUGAAGGUUGGGUAACACUAACUGGAGGACCGAACCGACUAAUGUUGAAAAAUUAGCGGAUGACUUGUGGCUGGGGGUGAAAGGCCAAUCAAACCGGGAGAUAGCUGGUUCUCCCCGAAAGCUAUUUAGGUAGCGCCUCGUGAACUCAUCUUCGGGGGUAGAGCACUGUUUCGGCUAGGGGGUCAUCCCGACUUACCAACCCGAUGCAAACUACGAAUACCGAAGAAUGUUAUCACGGGAGACACACGGCGGGUGCUAACGUCCGUCGUGAAGAGGGAAACAACCCAGACCGCCAGCUAAGGUCCCAAAGUCAUGGUUAAGUGGGAAACGAUGUGGGAAGGCACAGACAGCCAGGAUGUUGGCUUAGAAGCAGCCAUCAUUUAAAGAAAGCGUAAUAGCUCACUGGUCGAGUCGGCCUGCGCGGAAGAUGUAACGGGGCUAAACCAUGCACCGAAGCUGCGGCAGCGACACUAUGUGUUGUUGGGUAGGGGAGCGUUCUGUAAGCCUGCGAAGGUGACCUGUGAGGGUUGCUGGAGGUAUCAGAAGUGCGAAUGCUGACAUAAGUAACGAUAAAGCGGGUGAAAAGCCCGCUCGCCGGAAGACCAAGGGUUCCUGUCCAACGUUAAUCGGGGCAGGGUGAGUCGACCCCUAAGGCGAGGCCGAAAGGCGUAGUCGAUGGGAAACAGGUUAAUAUUCCUGUACUUGGUGUUACUGCGAAGGGGGGACGGAGAAGGCUAUGUUAGCCGGGCGACGGUUGUCCCGGUUUAAGCAUGUAGGCUGGUUAUCCAGGCAAAUCCGGAUAAUCAAGGCUGAGGUGUGAUGACGAGGCACUACGGUGCUGAAGUAACAAAUGCCCUGCUUCCAGGAAAAGCCUCUAAGCAUCAGGUAACAUCAAAUCGUACCCCAAACCGACACAGGUGGUCAGGUAGAGAAUACCAAGGCGCUUGAGAGAACUCGGGUGAAGGAACUAGGCAAAAUGGUGCCGUAACUUCGGGAGAAGGCACGCUGGUGUGUAGGUGAAGUCCCUGCGGAUGGAGCUGAGACCAGUCGAAGAUACCAGCUGGCUGCAACUGUUUAUUAAAAACACAGCACUGUGCAAACACGAAAGUGGACGUAUACGGUGUGACGCCUGCCCGGUGCCGGAAGGUUAAUUGAUGGGGUUAUCCGUAAGGAGAAGCUCUUGAUCGAAGCCCCGGUAAACGGCGGCCGUAACUAUAACGGUCCUAAGGUAGCGAAAUUCCUUGUCGGGUAAGUUCCGACCUGCACGAAUGGCGUAAUGAUGGCCAGGCUGUCUCCACCCGAGACUCAGUGAAAUUGAACUCGCUGUGAAGAUGCAGUGUACCCGCGGCAAGACGGAAAGACCCCGUGAACCUUUACUAUAGCUUGACACUGAACAUUGAGCCUUGAUGUGUAGGAUAGGUGGGAGGCUUUGAAGCGUGGACGCCAGUCUGCGUGGAGCCAACCUUGAAAUACCACCCUUUAAUGUUUGAUGUUCUAACGUUGGCCCCUGACCGGGGUUGCGGACAGUGUCUGGUGGGUAGUUUGACUGGGGCGGUCUCCUCCCAAAGCGUAACGGAGGAGCACGAAGGUUAGCUAAUCCUGGUCGGACAUCAGGAGGUUAGUGCAAUGGCAUAAGCUAGCUUGACUGCGAGCGUGACGGCGCGAGCAGGUGCGAAAGCAGGUCAUAGUGAUCCGGUGGUUCUGAAUGGAAGGGCCAUCGCUCAACGGAUAAAAGGUACUCCGGGGAUAACAGGCUGAUACCGCCCAAGAGUUCAUAUCGACGGCGGUGUUUGGCACCUCGAUGUCGGCUCAUCACAUCCUGGGGCUGAAGUAGGUCCCAAGGGUAUGGCUGUUCGCCAUUUAAAGUGGUACGCGAGCUGGGUUUAGAACGUCGUGAGACAGUUCGGUCCCUAUCUGCCGUGGGCGCUGGAGAAUUGAGGGGGGCUGCUCCUAGUACGAGAGGACCGGAGUGGACGCAUCACUGGUGUUCGGGUUGUCAUGCCAAUGGCACUGCCCGGUAGCUAAAUGCGGAAGAGAUAAGUGCUGAAAGCAUCUAAGCACGAAACUUGCCCCGAGAUGAGUUCUCCCUGAGACUUUAAGUCUCCUGAAGGAACGUUAAAGACGAUGACGUUGAUAGGCCGGGUGUGUAAGCGCAGCGAUGCGUUGAGCUAACCGGUACUAAUGAACCGUGAGGCUUAACCUU